AUGAUGAAUAUCAUCCAACUCCUCAUCGACCAGCGAGCCUACGAAGGAAUUACUCACUCCUGGCGGGGAGCAUCAUGGAAUUGGCGAUGGAGAUGGUUUGGUGAUGACGAAGAAGGAAGAUCCCCCUCUCCGGAGCCCCAAACGGACUCCAGAUCUGCCCUCCCGAGGAAGAAUAGGGCUUGGCGGCGGCUCCGUCUCGUGGAUCGCGAUAAUUCUUUCUCCCUGAUUUUUUCUCUGAAAAUAGGAAUUUAUAGCAUCGGUUUUAGGGUCAGCGGGGCCACCAGGUGGGUACAACCCACCUUGGCGCGUCAGGAGAGGGGGGCGCGCCCUGGUGGAUUGUGCCCACCCAGGUGCCCCUCUCCGGCAGGUCUUGGCUCCAGAAAUUCUUAUUAUUGA
rnacentral:rRNA from 1 species